rnacentral:rRNA from 1 species
UACAGAGAAGGCUAGCGUUUUUCGGAUUUAUUGGGCGUAAAGAGCGCGUAGGUGGUUUCUUAAGUUGAUGUUGAAAUCCCAAAGCUUAACUUUGGAAUGCGCAUCAAAACUAAGUUACUAGAGUUUAGUAGGGGACGACGGAAUUCUUGGUGUAGGGGUGAAAUUCUUAGAUAUCAGGAAGAACACCGGUGGCGAAAGCGGUCGUCUAUGCUAUAACUGACACUAAUUUGCGCGAAAGCGUGGGGAGCAAACAGG